ACUCACGCCGUUGCUGAUGGAAGCUGUGUAGGUACUAGUCCCAGCAGUCAUGGAGGCAUCCUGCUCUGCCCCAAUCAUUCCAUAACUACUCUCUGGCUGCUCACUUGCCAUGCCAACUUGUGAAGGUCGAAGUCUUGGAAUAAAUUGGCUGAGAGACUACCUAUGAUUCAUAGUUUGAUGUUGGGUGGUCGAUACAGUUUAACUUUACAAAUAGGGUCUUGUUGAUUGUGGGACACUAAUACUAUGUUUCUAUUUUGAGAUAGGGUGGCCAAGGUGGGUAUUUGCAUAAUCCCUUCAUCAUUGAGUAAAUAACUAUCUUGGGCGUUGUAGCUAAAAAGUCUGUCUACCUGAAGUUCUGAUAUCUAAACAAAGCUCAAGUCUGCCGACAAACUUAUAUGGGACAUACUGGAGAAGCUUACAGAUUUAUACUGUUCAUUUAUACGAACUAUGCUUGUCACAUACAGUGGCAGUACUGUGAUAAUCUUUGCCUAUAUGUAGUCCGUAUGAAUGCAGCUAAAAGAAACCAGUAACAUUAUUUUUCUGAAUGACAUAACUUUGAACUAAUAUAUGUUUACCAUAACCGUGCCUUCAGUGAUAUUGUAACUUGUAAGUCUAUUCUCUAUUUGCAAUUUAGUGUAUGAAAGAAUAUUAUCAAGUUCUAUUGUCUGUAUAAAUAUAUAGAUAGAUGAUUCUAGAUGUAUGAUAUAUGAAGUGUCAUAUGAUGAACACUCUACUGAGUGUCCUUUUCUCCCCCAAAUGCUUUUGCUUGACUGGAAUUGGAUUACAACUUGCGAUGUGAUGAUGUGGCUCGCUCCUCUGCUUUGUGUUGCACCCACUUGUUUAUAAGAUUAUAUCAGGGUGAUCUGACCCAUUAUCUACCCUUUGACAGGGGUUCUCUUAGCCUCUUCCGCUCAUAUUACCUCACUUAUGUGGGUGUGAAUGACAUGGCUGCCAAGGAUACAUCACUACAGAACAUGUCCGAACCAUGACUAUGAAUUUUAUGAUAGGUGUCAAUAAGUUUAAUGCAUGUCCUUACAAAAUAAUAUUUAAUACCAUGCUACCUUUGAACAAUUUAGUUCCUUAGUUUUGGCCAUAGGCAAUACUGGACACAAUCCCCAGUAAUUUCAAGAUGACAUCCAGUUACAGCCCUUUCUCUGAGGCAUACCUCGGCAUCCUUGAUGGUGGUGGCGACAACAUCAGGGUCGUGGAGUACUGCACGCCAUCAACUUUGACGAUACCUACCUUGAUUCCCUCAUAAGAGGUGAGCGCCUCUUGAACUUCGACCAGGAGAUGUGGUUUCACAGAUUCUAGCUUCCACAUUCUGUGGUGGAGAUGGAUAAGAUCACCGACCCUGCUGGUGGAACAUAAUCUUUGUCACCGAAUUAUGAUGUUAGAGACAGCAGUUCACAUAACAUCUUCAUUGCUCUCUCUCGAAAGAUUUUCUAUGUUCGACAUAUCAAAUUGAAGUUCGUUUCUUCUGUACAGGUCCUGCUGGAAACAACUGACGAUGUUUCUUGCCUUUCAUGGCCUAUCAUGGUGUCAUCUUGGUCCAGAGAGCUCAACUGCCUGUACCAGCAAUGACGAAUCGUCCGUCAGGUCGGAGUAGCAGCG